GUUAUUGUGGUGUCAUUUGACUUCAGCAAGACACCACUCUGAAUCUUACCAUUUAGGAAUGGAGCAGCAGGGAUGUGCUGGUGCUGUGGAAGCUCAGAUCAAGGCUUUGUCAGAUACAGAAACUUCAUGAGAAUCUCACUUCUAAUUUUUGCUGGACAAUUUAAUUUUGCCUCUGACCCCGGCACUCCUGACGCUCACUGGGUGAUGUGACUGCCACAGGAAGACUGCAGCUCAUGUGAUUUUAACAUUUCUCCAGUCCCAAGCAGAACCAGUUUGAUGUGAGCAGACACUUUCUGAUGGAACUGAAUGCUCUGAAAUGACAGAGGGGCUCAAAAGGCUUGUUUCUUGGUAACAGCUUUUGGUCAGCCAGAAAAACAAAACCAAACUGGUGGAGUCUGGACAUAGACUUUUGGAUGCAGAUGCUUUACAGCCCCUUUGGCUUCAGCCAGACCUACGAGAGAUGUAUAAAUCUGUGAGGAGUCAACUAUUCAUGUUCUCUUUUCUGCAGUUUUGGGAGGGCUCUCUUAACCCACUGUAUCCCUAUGGACUUUAUUAAAAAACCACAUGGACAUAGGUAUUUACAUACAUACAAUCACAAAUCUAUUCUCUAAAACAUAAAUGCUUUCUAAUUCUU